rnacentral:rRNA from 1 species
UCUUUUGUUUUUUAUUUAAGAUCGGGCCUGCCCAUUGAUUUGAAGUAUUAAAAGGCUGCGGUAUUUUAACUGUACGAAGGUAGCAUAAUCAUUUGUCUUUUAAUUGAAGGCUAGAAUGAAUGGUCUGAUGAGAAAUAUCCUUUCUUUUUUUAAUUAAUUUGAAUUUAAUUUUUUAGUUAAAAAGCUAAAAUUUUUAUAUAGGACGAGAAGACCCUAUAGAAGUUUACUUUAUUAAUAAUUAUAAGAUUAAUGUUUUUUAAUUUUUUUAUUAAAUUAUAAAGUUUUGUUGGGGUGACAAUAAAAUUUGUUUAACUUUUAUUUUUAGUUUUCAUUAAUUUAUGUUUAAUUGAUCCUUUAUUAUAGAUUAAAAGUUUAACUUACCUUAGGGAUAACAGCGUUAUUUUUUCGGAGAGUCCAUAUC